CAGCAGCCGCGGUAAUACGUAGGUGGCAAGCGUUGUCCGGAAUUAUUGGGCGUAAAGGGCUCGCAGGCGGUUUCUUAAGUCUGAUGUGAAAGCCCCCGGCUCAACCGGGGAGGGUCAUUGGAAGCUGGGAAACUUGAGUGCAGAAGAGGAGAGUGGAAUUCCACGUGUAGCGGUGAAAUGCGUAGAGAUGUGGAGGAACACCAGUGGCGAAGGCGACUCUCUGGUCUGUAACUGACGCUGAGGAGCGAAAGCGUGGGGAGCGAACAGGAUUAGAUACCCCGGUAGUCCCUGUCUCUUAUAC
rnacentral:rRNA from 1 species